AACAUAAGCCUAUGAUGAAAGUUGGAACUGACAUACCAUGCUGAGUUUGUUCAAUCCAACCCUGAGCUUCAUGUU
rnacentral:snoRNA from 13 species